rnacentral:rRNA from 1 species
GAUGAACGCUGGCGGUAUGCUUAACACAUGCAAGUCGAACGGUGUCUUCGGACCUAGUGGCGGACGGGUGAGUAACGCGUGAGAAUCUAACGAUUGGUUCGGGACAACCACUGGAAACGGUGGCUAAUACCGGAUAAGCUGAAAAGUGAAAGAUUAAUUGCCAAUUGAAGAGCUCGCGUCUGAUUAGCUAGUUGGUGGGGUAAGAGCCUACCAAGGCGUCGAUCAGUAGCUGGUCUGAGAGGACGAGCAGCCACACUGGGACUGAGACACGGCCCAGACUCCUACGGGAGGCAGCAGUGGGGAAUAUUCCGCAAUGGGCGAAAGCCUGACGGAGCAAUACCGCGUGAGGGAGGAAGGCUCUUGGGUUGUAAACCUCUUUUCUUUGGGAAGAUAAUGACGGUACCAGAGGAAUAAGCAUCGGCUAACUCCGUG